rnacentral:rRNA from 2 species
CAUGUCUAAGUAUAAGCAAUUAUACAGCGAAACUGCGAAUGGCUCAUUAUAUAAGUUAUCGUUUAUUUGAUAGUACCUUACUACUUAGAUAACCGUGGUAAUUCUAGAGCUAAUACAUGCUAAAAAUCCCGACUUCGGAAGGGAUGUAUUUAUUAGAUUAAAAACCAAUGCCCUCUGGGCUCCUUGGUGAUUCAUGAUAACUCUUCGAAUCGCACGGCCUUGCGCCGGCGAUGGUUCAUUCAAAUUUCUUCCCUAUCAACUUUCGAUGUUUGGGUAUUGGCCAAACAUGGUUGCAACGGGUAACGGAGGGUUAGGGCUCGACCCCGGAGAAGGAGCCUGAGAAACGGCUACUACAUCCAAGGAAGGCAGCAAGCGCGCAAAUUACCCAAUCCCGAUUCGGGGAGGUAGUGACAAUAAAUACUGAUACAGGGCUCUUUUGGGUCUUGUAAUUGGAAUGAGUACAAUUUAAAUCCCUUAACGAGGAACAAUUGGAGGGCAAGUCUGGUGCCAGCAGCCGCGGUAAUUCCAGCUCCAAUAGCGUAUAUUAAAGUUGUUGUGGUUAAAAAGCUCGUAGUUGAACCUUGGGCCUGGCUGGCCGGUCCGCCUCACCGCGUGCACUGGUCCGGCCGGGCCUUUCCCUCUGUGGAACCCCAUGCCCUUCACUGGGCGUGGCGGGGAAACAGGACUUUUACUUUGAAAAAAUUAGAGUGCUCCAGGCAGGCCUAUGCUCGAAUACAUUAGCAUGGAAUAAUGAAAUAGGACGCGUGGUUCUAUUUUGUUGGUUUCUAGGACCGCCGUAAUGAUUAAUAGGGACAGUCGGGGGCAUCAGUAUUCGAUCGUCAGAGGUGAAAUUCUUGGAUUGAUUGAAGACUAACUACUGCGAAAGCAUUUGCCAAGGAUGUUUUCAUUAAUCAGGAACGAAAGUUAGGGGAUCGAAGACGAUCAGAUACCGUCGUAGUCUUAACCAUAAACUAUGCCGACUAGGGAUCGGACGAUGUUAUUUUUUGACGCGUUCGGCACCUUACGAGAAAUCAAAGUGCUUGGGCUCCAGGGGGAG